rnacentral:rRNA from 1 species
CCUUAAUCGGAGAGUUCCCUUCGGGGACAUUGGUGACAGGUGGUGCAUGGUUGUCGUCAGCUCGUGUCGUGAGAUGUUGGGUUAAGUCCCGCAACGAGCGCAACCCUUGUCUUUAGUUGCCAUCAUUAAGUUGGGCACUCUAGAGAGACUGCCAGGGAUAACCUGGAGGAAGGUGGGGAUGACGUCAAAUCAUCAUGCCCCUUAUGCUUAGGGCUACACACGUGCUACAAUGGGUAGUACAGAGGGUUGCCAAGCCGUAAGGUGGAGCUAAUCCCUUAAAGCUACUCUCAGUUCGGAUUGUAGGCUGAAACUCGCCUACAUGAAGCUGGAGUUACUAGUAAUCGCAGAUCAGAAUGCUGCGGUGAAUGCGUUCCCGGGUCUUGUACACACCGCCCGUCACACCACGGGAGUUGGAGACGCCCGAAGCCGAUUAUCUAACCUUUUGGAAGAAGUCGUCGAAGGUGGAAUCAAUAACUGGGGUGAAGUCGUAACAAGGUAGCCGUAUCGGAAGGUGCGGCUGGAUC